rnacentral:rRNA from 1 species
CCGUAGCCUUAUGGAGGGGGAUAACAGAGAGAAAUCACUGCUAAUACCGCAUAAGCACACAUUGCCGCAUGGCAGAGUGUGAAAAGAUUUAUCGCCAUAAGAUGGACCCGCGUCUGAUUAGCCAGUUGGCAGGGUAAAAGCCUACCAAAGCAACGAUCAGUAGCCGAUCUGAGAGGAUGACCGGCCACAUUGGGACUGAGACACGGCCCAA